GAUUCUGGCUCAGGAUGAACGCUAGCUACAGGCUUAACACAUGCAAGUCGAGGGGCAGCAUUGGAGUAGCAAUACUUCAGAUGGCGACCGGCGCACGGGUGAGUAACACGUAUCCAACCUGCCGCUUACUCGGGGAUAGCCUUUCGAAAGAAAGAUUAAUACCCGAUGGUAUAAAGAGUUCGCAUGUUCUCUUUAUUAAAGAAUUUCGGUAAGCGAUGGGGAUGCGUUCCAUUAGAUAGUUGGCGGGGUAACGGCCCACCAAGUCUACGAUGGAUAGGGGUUCUGAGAGGAAGGUCCCCCACAUUGGAACUGAGACACGGUCCAAACUCCUACGGGAGGCAGCAGUGAGGAAUAUUGGUCAAUGGACGAGAGUCUGAACCAGCCAAGUAGCGUGAAGGAUGACUGCCCUAUGGGUUGUAAACUUCUUUUAUAAGGGAAUAAAGUGAGGGACGUGUCCCUUUUUGUAUGUACCUUAUGAAUAAGGAUCGGCUAACUCCGUGCCAGCAGCUGC
rnacentral:rRNA from 1 species